CUGUAAGCCUGUGAAGGUGAGUUGAGAAGCUUGCUGGAGGUAUCAGAAGUGCGAAUGCUGACAUGAGUAACGACAAUGGGUGUGAAAAACACCCACGCCGAAAGACCAAGGGUUCCUGCGCAACGUUAAUCGACGCAGGGUUAGUCGGUUCCUAAGGCGAGGCUGAAAAGCGUAGUCGAUGGGAAACAGGUUAAUAUUCCUGUACUUCUGGUUACUGCGAUGGAGGGACGGAGAAGGCUAGGCCAGCUUGGCGUUGGUUGUCCAAGUUUAAGGUGGUAGGCUGAAAUCUUAGGUAAAUCCGGGGUUUCAAGGCCGAGAGCUGAUGACGAGUCGUCUUUUAGAUGACGAAGUGGUUGAUGCCAUGCUUCCAAGAAAAGCUUCUAAGCUUCAGGUAACCAGGAACCGUACCCCAAACCGACACAGGUGGUCGGGUAGAGAAUACCAAGGCGCUUGAGAGAACUCGGGUGAAGGAACUAGGCAAAAUGGCACCGUAACUUCGGGAGAAGGUGCGCCGGCUAGGGUGAAGGAUUUACUCCGUAAGCUCUGGCUGGUCGAAGAUACCAGGCCGCUGCGACUGUUUAUUAAAAACACAGCACUCUGCAAACACGAAAGUGGACGUAUAGGGUGUGACGCCUGCCCGGUGCCGGAAGGUUAAUUGAUGGGGUUAGCGCAAGCGAAGCUCUUGAUCGAAGCCCCGGUAAACGGCGGCCGUAACUAUAACGGUCCUAAGGUAGCGAAAUUCCUUGUCGGGUAAGUUCCGACCUGCACGAAUGGCGUAACGAUGGCGGCGCUGUCUCCACCCGAGACUCAGUGAAAUUGAAAUCGCUGUGAAGAUGCAGUGUAUCCGCGGCUAGACGGAAAGACCCCGUGAACCUUUACUGUAGCUUUGCACUGGACUUUGAGCCUGCUUGUGUAGGAUAGGUGGGAGGCUUUGAAGCGUGGACGCCAGUUCGCGUGGAGCCAUCCUUGAAAUACCACCCUGGCAUGCUUGAGGUUCUAACUCUGGUCCGUGAUCCGGAUCGAGGACAGUGUAUGG
rnacentral:rRNA from 1 species